rnacentral:rRNA from 1 species
UACGUAGGGGGCAAGCGUUGUCCGGAUUUAUUGGGCGUAAAGAGCGUGUAGGCGGUUUGGUAGGUCCGCUGUGAAAACUCGAGGCUCAACCUCGAGACGCCGGUGGAAACCAUCAGACUAGAGUCCGGAAGAGGAGAGUGGAACUCCUGGUGUAGCGGUGAAAUGCGCAGAUAUCAGGAAGAACACCCGUGGCGAAGGCGGCUCUCUAGUACGGUACUGACGCUGAGACGCGAAAGCGUGGGGAGCGAACAGG